UCCACAGUAGCUCAGUUUUAGAGCUAUCGGCUGUUAACCGAUCGGUCGUAGGUUCGAGUCCUACCUGUGGAGCCA
rnacentral:tRNA from 1 species